GAUGAAGAACGUAGCGAAAUGCGAUAAGUAAUGUGAAUUGCAGAAUUCCGUGAAUCAUCGAAUCUUUGAACGCACAUUGCGCCCCCUGGCAUUCCGGGGGGCAUGCCUGUCCGAGCGUCAUUCCUGCCCUCAAGCACGGCUUGUGUGUUGGGUGUGGUCCCCCCGGGGACCUGCCCGAAAGGCAGCGGCGACGUCCGUCUGGUCCUCGAGCGUAUGGGGCUCUGUCACUCGCUCGGGAAGGACCUGCGGGGGUUGGUCACCACUAUAUUUUACCACGGUUGACCUCGGAUCAGGUAGGAGUUACCCGCUGAACUUAAGCAUAUCAAUAAGCGGAGGA
rnacentral:misc_RNA from 1 species